rnacentral:rRNA from 1 species
UACGAAGGGGGCUAGCGUUGUUCGGAAUUACUGGGCGUAAAGCGCGCGCAGGCGGUUUUUCAAGUCAGUGGUGAAAGCCCGGAGCUCAACUCCGGAACUGCCAUUGAAACUGUAAAACUUGAGGACGAGAGAGGUGAGUGGAAUUCCCGGUGUAGCGGUGAAAUGCGUAGAUAUCGGUAGGAACACCAGUGGCGAAGGCGGUCUCCUGGGGCAUUCUUGACGCUGAGGCGCGAAAGCUGGGGGAGCGAACGGG